GCUCAGAAUCAGAGAGACCUCAUCAAGUUUUUGGCAAACCCAAACAUUCUGCAAUAGAUUGAGUGGAAGGAAGAGGAAGGACAUAAAGAUAAAGACAUGAGAAAAGAAGCUGAGUCUUUGUUGAAACACUGAAAUGGGUGCAGACUCUUCAAAAUACUCUUCAGUGGCUUUGUUUCCAAAUGAAAACCAGAAAAAUGAUGCUGGAAUUUCAUAGAGGCAGCGGCGGAUGGAAGAGGGCUCCUCCUGUCUAUAACCAUGGGAAUAUUGUUUUUGAUUGUAGACCAACUAACUGCAAAGAGAGAAGACACAUAAAUAAGACAAGCCCUGGAAAGCACAUGUGGUGUGACGGUGUCCUGCCAAAGCUGAGAAGACACAAAUAAAAAGUUUGAGUAUUUCUCUAGAGAAUUCAUCUAGGAGUGAAACUGUUGAAUAAACAGCUCUGCAGAUCUCCUCCAAGUGAUUGUACUAAUUUAUUCUCUAACCAGCCAUUAUGGG
rnacentral:lncRNA from 10 species